rnacentral:rRNA from 1 species
GACGAACGCUGGCGGCGUGCCUAAUACAUGCAAGUCGAGCGCGGGAAGCAGACUGAAGCCUUCGGGCGGACGUCUGUGGAACGAGCGGCGGAUGGGUGAGUAACACGUGGGCAACCUGCCUGUAAGCUCGGGAUAACUAGCGGAAACGCUAGCUAAUACCGAAUAACGCUGCGCACCGCAUGGCGCGCAGAUGAAAGGCGGCGCAAGCUGCCACUUACAGAUGGGCCCGCGGCGCAUUAGCUAGUUGGUGGGGUAACGGCCUACCAAGGCGACGAUGCGUAGCCGACCUGAGAGGGUGAUCGGCCACACUGGGACUGAGACACGGCCCAGACUCCUACGGGAGGCAGCAGUAGGGAAUCUUCCGCAAUGGGCGAAAGCCUGACGGAGCAACGCCGCGUGAGCGAAGAAGGCCUUCGGGUCGUAAAGCUCUGUUGUCAGGGAAGAACAAGUACCGGAGUAACUGCCGGUACCUUGACGGUACCUGACCAGAAAGCCCCGGCUA